UGAUCAGGUGGCUAAGCAUUGAUGCUCACUGCAGGUUUCAACUGAAUCACUUUGGUUUACUCCAAAAGAGUGGUAUUAGCUUAUAACUACUAUACACUGUGCUCUUUGGUGUCUGAAGGAAAGAAAUCUGCUCUCAGGUUCAUCGCAAUGGAACUCUAUAAUGUCUGAGAGGUCCUCUACAGUUCCAUCGUCAGGCUUCCCAAGUUUAAUCUUUCUCCAAGGUAUAAGUAUUUUCACUAUUAUAUUUUUAAAUUCCACUCUCUUUUUAUCUAUGUAGUAGCAUAUUGAAAACCCAAUGUGAUAAGAAUCUCUCAUUCAAAAAAGUUUCCAUAUGGCGGAAGGGAUGUAACACUUCUGAAGUCAUUUGAGUUCCAAGACCUAUAAUCAUGUGGUCAGUUUUUACCGUUUCAAGUUUCAACAGUGGUCACUCCACUUUGGGUCAGCUUGCAUUCAAUUACAUGCCAGUUAAGUUCAAGUUUCUUCGUGCAAGAGCGUGCACCCGAACAUCACCUCUCAAUUUAGCUAUAGAGAUUCUGAAAUGGAGUGAGGAGAGAACAAACAUUUGCGUGAUGUAUACUCUAUGUCCAGUACUUAUCAAGUUCUUCUCAAAUCAGUGUAUGCACAUUAAAAACAAGUCUAAUAUAAAUAGUCACCACUAUCUCGAGUAGAGAUUCUUACACAUUGAUCUUAAUUGAUUGAGAUUCAGUUCAGCGCAUUUAUUUCUUUUUUGAACUUGACCAUUGAAGCUCUUGGCAACUAAACCAUGACUUGAACCCCUCUAACCAUCGACUGUUCUCUUUUUUUUUUGUGACUAAUCGACUGUUCUAUAAUGAACGCUGACAUUAACACUUUAACAAUCUGUGAAACAAAACAACUCAUCCUUCGUAAGUAAUCCUGUUGAGCAGCAUGCAUCAUGAACUAAUAAAAUGUUUUUUUUGGUGCAACAUUAGUUAUCUACUUAAUUAACUUCAUUUGGUAACUAAAUGUCUUUUAAAAAAAAAAAUUCUCUCGCAAGUUAUCAUGUAAAUACCAUAUGUUUUGAACCAAGUGUUGUCCAAGGUUGAGUCCUCACAAAAAGAGUACGAAAUAUAAGGAAACCAUAAGAGAAGACAAACUAAUACCACAUUAAACAACAACAUGUCAACGUUUUUCAUUUAUGUUCACAAAAAAUUAAAAAAAGUUUAAAAAUCACAAAAAUGUAUGAAGUUUAACAAAAACAAUAAAAACUAAAGUUAAUUAGAAGUAAGAAAAAAAACUAUGACAGAAAUUUUUCGGAAAUAAAAAUCAAUGAAGUUGUAUCGAAUUAGAAUGUGAUAUUAAUUCAAAACAGAAAAUGUUUUUACUAAAAAUGAAAAUAUGAAAACAAUGGUUUUGGAUCAUAGUUUUGGACCAAAAAUAUAUUCUAAAUUCCCCUAAACAAUUAAAUAGAUGCAUUAAUCCUUAAUAUUGUAAUCAAGCAUAUAAGAAAAAACAUUACGUUAGAACGUAUAUAAACAUUACAAAAGAUAAAAGAUAGUAACUGUAAAAUUAAUAGUAUUUAGUGGUAAAAGUAAAAUAAAGUGUGAAUAUCUAGAUUAUAUUUUUACACUUGUUUUAAUCAAUGAAUAAUAUUUUAACUAUAGUUAGAUUGUCAAAUAUUAUUCUGUUUAUGAUAAAAAAUAGUAUAUUAAAUAAUAAUAAUUUUGUAGAAGUUUUAGUGUAUUUAACUCAUACAACAUUGUUUUUACAAAAAUUGUUUUAAUUUUUUUGUAUGAAAAUUGUUUUUAAGUUAAAAAAUACCAUUUAGUUUAUUUAAAAAAAUGAAUAUAUAAAUUAGGUACACUUAUUAUCAAACAAGUAAUAAAAAGAUGAUAUAAGCUUUUGAUAGAGUGUCCAUGUAGGCGAACAUAAUCGGCCAAUGAGAAACUACAUUUUUGCCAUGUCACCUCCUCUAUUUGUUUUUACAAAAUGAUCCUUUAAUUUUUUAUUUAAACAAUUAUAACCGAAAAUAUUUAUUUAGUGAAAAUAUAUUAUUUAUAGAAAUAUAAUUGUAUUUUUUAUUUACAUAAUAGUUUGUAAAGAAAUAUUUAGUGUAAAUAAUAUCAUAAUUUUAUAAAAUAUUAAAAUAAAUUUGGUUGGUUUUCAACUUUCACAAAUAAAAAGUAUUAUUUGUACACUUAGAAAAGAAUAUAUCAAAAAUAUUCUUUUUCAGGAGAGAAAAUAGAAAAAUACACCGGAGAAAAAUUCAUCUCUAUUAUGAAAUUCCUCUAUUUUAAAGAAAAAAAAAAUAGAAGAAUACAUUGGAAAUGGUCUAAGGCAUGGCUGACGUAAAUGAUCGACGUAGAGAUUUUAGCUUUUCUCAUUCUUACUAUUCUAAUGUUUCAAUAUAAUUUGAAUAUUCCCUUUGCUUUAUAAUAUAAUGGCUUAAAAGUAUUUUUUGUUUCACUAUAUAAAUUAUUUUUAUAUUUCAAUGUAACUUUAUAUUUAUUGGAUAUUGUGUUGCCAAUUAAAUUAUGUAAACUACUGUGUAAUUGAUUAAAUUUAUAUAUUAAAUGACAGUUUUCUAAAGUAAUAGUUUUUGAAUAUUUGUUCAAAAAAACUUUAAAUAUUACAGAUUUUAAUUAAACUGGAGGAUAUAAGCCUAAGAUAGAGUAUCCACGUAGGCAAAAAUAAUCGGCCAAUGAGAAACUAUAUUUUUGCCAUGUCACCUCCUCUAUUUGUUUUUACAAAAUGAUACUUUAAAUUUUUACUUAAACAAUUAUAACCGGAAAAUUUUUUUUAGUGAAAUAUAUUAUUUAUAUAAAUAUAAUUAUAUUUUUUUUACAUAAUAGUUUGUAAAGAAAUAUUUAGUGUAAAUAAUAUCGUAAUUUUAUAAAAUGCUAAAAUAAAUUAGGCUGGUUUUCACCUUUC